rnacentral:rRNA from 1 species
GACGAACGCUGGCGGCGUGCUUAACACAUGCAAGUCGAACGGAAAGGCCCUGCUUGCAGGGUACUCGAGUGGCGAACGGGUGAGUAACACGUGGGUGAUCUGCCCUGCACUUCGGGAUAAGCCUGGGAAACUGGGUCUAAUACCGGAUAGGAGCCAUUUUUAGUGUGAUGGUUGGAAAGUUUUUUCGGUGUAGGAUGAGCUCGCGGCCUAUCAGCUUGUUGGUGGGGUAAUGGCCUACCAAGGCGGCGACGGGUAGCCGGCCUGAGAGGGUGGACGGCCACAUUGGGACUGAGAUACGGCCCAGACUCCUACGGGAGGCAGCAGUGGGGAAUAUUGCACAAUGGGCGCAAGCCUGAUGCAGCGACGCCGCGUGGGGGAUGACGGCCUUCGGGUUGUAAACUCCUUUCGCUAGGGACGAAGCUUUUGUGACGGUACCUAGAUAAGAAGCACCGGCUAACUACGUGC